UACGAAGGGGGCUAGCGUUGCUCGGAAUCACUGGGCGUAAAGCGCACGUAGGCGGCUUUUUAAGUCAGGGGUGAAAUCCUGGAGCUCAACUCCAGAACUGCCUUUGAUACUGAGAGCUUGAGUCCGGGAGAGGUGAGUGGAACUGCGAGUGUAGAGGUGAAAUUCGUAGAUAUUCGCAAGAACACCAGUGGCGAAGGCGGCUCACUGGCCCGUAACUGACGCUGAGGUGCGAAAGCGUGGGGAGCAAACAGG
rnacentral:rRNA from 1 species